rnacentral:rRNA from 1 species
UACGUAGGCAGCGAGCGUUGUUCGGAAUUACUGGGCGUAAAGAGUGUGUAGGCGGCGCUCUAAGUUCGGUGUGAAAUCUCUCGGCUUAACUGGGAGGGUGCGCCGGAAACUGGAGUGCUCGAACGUGGGAGAGGAAAGCGGAAUUCCUGGUGUAGCGGUGAAAUGCGUAGAUAUCAGGAGGAACACCGGUGGCGAAGGCGGCUAUCUGGACAGAGUCUGACGCUGAGGCGCGAAAGCUAGGGGAGCAAACAGG